ACCCUUGUGAGGAUAAAGCAGAGCGGAAAAUGGAUGGAUGGAAGUGAAAUGCAUCUUGAAUCGGAUUCAGAAGUGCCCCCACCAUGCAGCACCACCCCUCUCUCCAGACACCUUAAUAUGAUGGCCAAAGAACAACAGCUGCCCCCCACACGUCCCAUCAAAGCUCAUCCUGUCCCAGGAUCACUACAGCACAUAUGCAACACACAUGCACACGCGCACGCACACAGAGGCUAUAUUUCAACCAUCAUUUCCUCCAACACCUCGGCAGAAUGACAGGCCUUGAGGGGUGGGGGUCAUGGAUGUUGGGCACCAGUUAAAUUUAGAACUUAAAUU